UGGAAUGGCUUUUCCAAACUGCAGUAAACAUCAAACGCUGAAACAAACUCCUCAGGUUAAAAGAAAUCUCAGUCUGGGUAAAUUGCUUAUAGCUUACAGUGAAUCUCACAAGUUAAAUGAGUGCCUCAGAACUGGAGCAAAAUUCUGACUAAACUAUACUGACAGAUUAAAGACCAGCUGUGUCUAAUAGGUUCUGAUUCUAAUCAGUUAUCCCCCCACCUGAACCCAAACAGUCUCAGCUAGCAGCAAACCCUGGUCCUUUCCAGCUCUAAAUGAAAAUUUCUCUAGUGCUCUCUGACAAGAUCUGAAAGUAUCAGCAAACUUUUCUCUUUCUUCUUGGACCUGGCUGCUAACCUUAAGUGAUCACUGAUUUUCAAGAGAGUUGACCUGAGAGGGAAGGAAACGCAUCAUGGUGAGCUGCUUACAGUGAAGUUGGUGGCAAAGUUCCCUUGACUUCAAAGGCAAUGAGAUCAGGCCUAAGUGUACUUCUAUCAUAAAUAUUUACUAGUUUAGUGCCUUUAGACCCAGAGCAUAUAUCACCACUAAAUUAUUGUGGCUUUCUCAUGGCUUCAUCACAGUUUAUCAAUGCUCUGUUUGCCAUUAUACUGUUGCUUCAUGCUGAGUGAAAGGACUACAUUUUUAAAGGAAAAUAUAAGUGUGACACCAAACAUUUGCAGUUACUGACCUGCUCCACACAUGUGAGCCCACCUGUGUGUGUGUGAAAAUGACUGUUUGCAAGCACAGCUGUUGGUUUUCAGAGGGCAUAAGUGGCAUCUUCCUUCAUAUGUGACAGAAGAAAAUAGUCACAAUUCUGCAAUGUUUGUAGAAAUAUGAAACCUGCAUGUUGUGAAAUGAUCCACUACAAUAUUUUACUAUAAAGGAGUGUUUUUUCUCUAAUAAUACUGGAUCAAGGAACACUACUGACUUUAAAAAGCAUGGUUUUUUACUGAAAAUGUAUUGCCUUUGUGUUUCAACCAUGAACGUCUGCUUACUUGAUCGUUUAGCUGCCUUUCUGUUACAUUUCAUGUCACUGGUGAGGGAGUGCUGCCUGGUGUCUUUAGCACCUCAGAUGACUACACCAGAAUGAAAUUAAAGAAAAAAAUAUUUUGUUGA